UACUAAGUUGAAAGCUUAGGUGGACUA
rnacentral:sRNA from 1 species